rnacentral:rRNA from 1 species
UCGGCGUGCUUAACACAUGCAAGUCGAACGAUUAACCCGCCCUCGGGCGGUUAUAGAGUGGCGAACGGGUGAGUAACACGUGACCAACCUGCCCCUUGCUCCGGGACAACCCAGGGAAACCUCGGCUAAUACCGGAUACUCCGCGCAGCCCGCAUGGGAGGCGCGGGAAAGCCCAGACGGCAAGGGAUGGGGUCGCGGCCCAUUAGGUAGACGGCGGGGUAACGGCCCACCGUGCCCGCGAUGGGUAGCCGGGUUGAGAGACCGAUCGGCCACAUUGGGACUGAGAUACGGCCCAGACUCC